GCUGCUGGUUCUUUCUCUAGGGAACAUGUGCACGCUUGUCAUCUUUAUAUCUCCACCUGUGCACCUUUUGUAGACCUUGAUAUCUUUCUGAGUGCUAGUCACGCAGGUUUGAGGAUUGACUUUAUGUCUUUCCUUACAUUUCUCGGUCUAUGUUUCUUAAUAUACUCCAAUGUAUGUUUUAGAAUGUAGUCAAAUGGGCCUUUGUGCCUAUAGAACUAUACAACUUUCAGCAACGGAUCUCUUGGCUCUCGCAUCGAUGAAGAACGCAGCGAAAUGCGAUAAGUAAUGUGAAUUGCAGAAUUCAGUGAAUCAUCGAAUCUUUGAACGCACCUUGCGCUCCUUGGUAUUCCGAGGAGCAUGCCUGUUUGAGUGUCAUUAAUGUAUGUCAACCUCUUUUGAGUGUUGGAUGUGGGGGUCUUGUUUUGCUGGCCUUUUGUCCAAGAAGGUCAGCUCCCCUUAAAUGCAUUAGCGGAACCUUGUGUGGACCGUUCAUUGGUGUGAUAAUUAUCUACACUAUUGACGUGAAGCAGUUCAGCUUCU
rnacentral:rRNA from 1 species